CGGAAGCCCUUUCAGCCUCCAGGCAUGUCCCCACCUGCCUCACAGCCACCGACGCAUCUCACGGCGGGGUUCCAAUUGCGUGCGCGUAUGGAUGCUCCUUUCGCCGCCGCCUUUCUAGCAACUAGUUGAUGUUAUGAUGCAUCGUUGGUCCGGUGUACGACGGCGCCUGGUGCGAUUUAUGCGUCCGGAAGCCCUUUCAGCCUCCAGGCAUGUCCCCACCUGCCUCACAGCCACCGACGCAUCUCACGGCGGGGGUCUAAUUGCGUGCGCGUAUGGAUGCUCCUUUCGCCGCCUUUCUAGCAACUAGUUGAUGUUAUGAUGCAUCGUUGGUCCGGUGUACGACGGCGCCUGAUGCGAUUUAUGCGUCCGGAAGCCCUUUCAGCCUCCAGGCAUGUCCCCACCUGCCUCACAGCCACCGACGCAUCUCACGGCGGGGUUCCAAUUGCGUGCGCGUAUGGAUGCUCCUUUCGCCGCCGCCUUUCCAGCAACUAGUUGAUGUUAUGAUGCAUCGUUGGUCCGGUGUACGACGGCGCCUGGUGCGAUUUAUGCGUCCGGAAGCCCUUUCAGCCUCCAGGCAUGUCCCCACCUGCCUCAUAGCCACCGACGCAUCUCACGGCGGGGUUCCAAUUGCGUGCGCGUAUGGAUGCUCCUAUUCGCCGCCGCCUUUCUAGCAACUAGUUGAUGUUAUGAUGCAUCGUUGGUCCGGUGUACGACGGCGCCUGAUGCGAUUUAUGCGUCCGGAAGCCCUUUCAGCCUCCAGGCAUGUCCCCACCUGCCUCACAGCGACCGAGGCAUCUCACGGCGGGGGUCUAAUUGCGUGCGCGUAUGGAUGCUCCUUUCCCCGCCGCCUUUCUAGCAACUAGUUGAUGUUAUGAUGCAUCGUUGGUCCGGCGUAUGACGGCGCCUGGUGCGAUUUAGGCGUCCGGAAGCCCUUUCAGCCUCCAGGCAUGUCCCCACCUGCCUCACAGCCACCGACGCAUCUCACGGCGGGGGUCUAAUUGCGUGCGCGUAUGGAUGCUCCUUUCCCCGCCGCCUUUCUAGCAACUAGUUGAUGUUAUGAUGCAUCGUUGGUCCGGCGUACGACGGCGCCUGAUGCGAUUUAUGCGUCCGGAAGCCCUUUCAGCCUCCAGGCAUGACCCCACCUGCCUCACAGCUACCGAGGCAUCUCACGGCGGGGGUCCAAUUGCGUGCGCGUAUGGAUGCUCCUUUCCCCGCCGCCUUUCUAGCAACUAGUUGAUGUUAUGAUGCAUCGUUGGUCCAGUGUACGACGGCGCCUGAUGCGAUUUAUGCGUCCGGAAGCCCUUUCAGCCUCCAGGCAUGUCCCCACCUGCCUCACAGCCACCGACGCAUCUCACGGCGGGGUUCCAAUUGUGUGCGCGUAUGGAUGCUCCUUUCCCCGCCGCCUUUCUAGCAACUAGUUGAUGUUAUGAUGCAUCGUUGGUCCGGUGUACGACGGCGCCUGAUGCGAUUUAUGCGUCCGGAAGCCCUUUCAGCCUCCAGGCACGUCCCCACCUGCCUCACAGCCACCGACGCAUCUCACGGCGGGGUUCCAAUUGUGUGCGCAUAUGGAUGCUCCUUUCCCCGCCGCCUUUCUAGCAACUAGUUGAUGUGAUGAUGCAUCGUCGGUCCGGUGUACGAUGGCGCCUGAUGCGAUUUAUGCGUCCGGAAGCCCUUUCAGCCUCCAGGCAUGUCCCCACCUGCCUCACAGCUACCGAGGCAUCUCACGGCGGGGUUCCAAUUGUGUGCGCGUAUGGAUGCUCCUUUCCCCGCCGCCUUUCUAGCAACUAGUUGAUGUUAUGAUGCAUCGUUGGUCCGGUGUACGAUGGCGCCUGAUGCGAUUUAUGCGUCCGGAAGCCCUUUCAGCCUCCAGGCACGUCCCCACCUGCCUCACAGCCACCGACGCAUCUCACGGCGGGGGUCUAAUUGCGUGCGCGUAUGGAUGCUCCUUUCCCCGCCGCCUUUCUAGCAACUAGUUGAUGUUAUGAUGCAUCGUUGUUCCAGUGUACGACGGCGCCUGAUGCGAUUUAUGCGUCCGGAAGCCCUUUCAGCCUCCAGGCAUGUCCCCACCUGCCUCACAGCCACCGACGCAUCUCACGGCGGGGUUCAUAUUGCGUGCGCGUAUGGAUGCUCCUUUCGCCGCCUUUCCAGCAACUAGUUGAUGUUAUGAUGCAUCGUUGGUCCGGCGUACGACGGCGCCUGAUGCGAUUUAUGCGUCCGGAAGCCCUUUCAGCCUCCANN
rnacentral:lncRNA from 1 species